rnacentral:rRNA from 1 species
AUUGAACGCUGGCGGCAGGCCUAACACAUGCAAGUCGAGCGGAUGAGAGGAGCUUGCUUCUCGAUUCAGCGGCGGACGGGUGAGUAAUGCCUAGGAAUCUGCCUGGUAGUGGGGGACAACGUUUCGAAAGGAACGCUAAUACCGCAUACGUCCUACGGGAGAAAGCAGGGGACCUUCGGGCCUUGCGCUAUCAGAUGAGCCUAGGUCGGAUUAGCUAGUUGGUGAGGUAAUGGCUCACCAAGGCGACGAUCCGUAACUGGUCUGAGAGGAUGAUCACUCAACCGGGAACUGGGACCAAGGCCAGACUCCUACGGGAGGCAGCAGUGGGGAAUAUUGGACAAUGGGCGAAAGCCUGAUCCAGCCAUGCCGCGUGUGUGAAGAAGGUCUUCGGAUUGUAAAGCACUUUAAGUUGGGAGGAAGGGUUGUAGAUUAAUACUUUGCAAUUUUGACGUUACCGACAGAAUAAGCACCGGCUAACUCUGUGCCAGCCGCCGCGGUAACAC